UCAAGCUGACAUUAGAAUUAUAAGUAUUAAUCAGUAUUUAUCAUUUUGCAUUAAGUUAAGAAUAUGGUCUUUGUAUUUUUACAGGUCAUGCAAAAGCACCUUUAGAAGUAAUUGUGUGUCCUUCCAUGCUGCUCAAGACAUUGGCAGUUGAAAAAAAAGGAUUCUACUGCUACUUUACGGCUUUCAGGUGGGAACAGCAUGCUGCGUGGCCAUUUACCCCCCCCCCCCCCCCCCGAACCUGAAGCAAAGCAAAGGCAAAAAAACUGCCAUUCUACUGUAUUUGGGGGGACUUCACGGUGACCUGCGCAUCCUGCACCUACAACUCUGAAACUGUACCUGGCAGCCUCCGAUUUUGACUGCCUUGCCUUCUUUUCCCAUCAAGGCUGGUAUGAACACAAGAAACUCGAUCAGGAAGCUAUCAACCUUAACGGACAGGGCUAUAUCCUACAUCCUCCAGAUUCCUACACCCACCGGCAUUUUUCCUUCCAUUGACAAUGUUUUGAGCAUCAUGCACACAGAAAUCUGCCAUUGAAUACAAGUCUCCAUAUUUUCCUCCUCCCAUCUCCGUACCAGAACAGGAUAGCCAACAUUGGUUAAGGUAUUUUAGAGUGUGAGGCCAAAAAUAUUGAUUUAUUGUUUAAAUCCUUUUUUGGAAUAAAAUAGGGGAAUUUAUUGAUCGCUGUAUUUCCUGCUUUAAAUCCAUUAGAGAUCCAAAGGGAUAGCACAGUUUCUUUGAUCUUUGUCCAUUCAAACAUAAACACAUUGAGUAAAAAUGCAUUUCUUCUAA